GGAAUAAAAGUCGUAACAAGGUUUCCGUAGGUGAACCUGCGGAAGGAUCAUUAUUGUAUAACCGAGGUGCGAGGGCUGUCGCUGACCCGAAAGGUCGUGCACGCCCGAGUGCCCUCACACACAUCCAUCUCACCCCUAUAUGCACCACCGCGUGGGUCCCCCUUUGGCUUGUUCGGAGGGGGGCUUACGUUUUCACACAAACUUUGUAUGCAGUGUAGAAUGUAUUUUUUGUUUUUGCGAUCACGCAAUCAAUACAACUUUCAACAACGGAUCUCUUGGCUCUC
rnacentral:misc_RNA from 1 species